UUAUUUCCUGCUUCUCUCCACUGUCUUAUUUUCAAGCUGCUACUGGUGCACCAUGAGAACCUGAUUUAAUACUAAGUGUCCAUACCAAAGUUCACUGUCUGUCCCUACAGCAUAAUAUAACAUCGGUUAUCUCACACAAUUGAUCUGGCUUAGUUCCUGGCCCAGGUGCAUAUUAGUUUUUGGAAGAAACUGAAUACAUAUUGUAAAAGUGUAUUAGCUCUUUCAAGCCAAAGGGGAGUAAUCACUCCAUGUAAAAGUGUAUUAGCUCUUUCAAGCCAAAGGGGAGUAAUCACAUAGAUGACUUCUCCAGGGGUGGAGGCCUUCAAGUGGGGCUAAAUGAGGAAGCAGAAAAUCCUAAGCACUCUGUUUCAUUUUCUUGUGAGCAAAAAACAUGAGACAGUGUCCUUUGU
rnacentral:antisense_RNA from 1 species